GUGUGUGUAGUGUCAGCGGAUAGCACAUCUGCCUUCCAAGCAGAAAGGGACGGUUCGAAUCCGUUCACGCACUCUA
rnacentral:tRNA from 1 species